rnacentral:rRNA from 1 species
GGUAAGCAGAACGGGCGAUUCGGGAUGAACCGGAAGCGGGGAGAAAGGGCCCGAGAUUGCGUCGACGCGGAUCCCGAAAAGGGCGUCGAUCCGUCGCGACAGCGGGACGGUGGUCAUGGAAGUCGAAAUCCGCUAAGAAGCGUGUAAAAACGUACCCCGCCCAACGGAUCGGCCCCGAAAAUUGAUGGCGCUCGAACGCAACCCUCGAACCCCGCCGACGGAGGCUAGGGGAGGCCCCGUCGAGUAGGCGGACGCGCGGGUCGCUUCGACGCUCUCGCGCGAGCGGGGGGCGGAGCGGCCCGUGGUGCAGAUCUUGGUGGUAGUAGCGAUCACCCAGGCGAGAACCCUGAGGGCCGAAGUGGAGAAGGGUUUCUCGAGAACGGCACUCGCUCGAGAGUUAGUCGAUCCUAAGCUGCCGGCGGCAGCCACGAAACGGUCGAUCGGGCGCGAGCCCGGCAGCCACGACCGGGCAGCGAAAGGGAAUUGGGAACCUCCUUCCCAAACCCGGAACCGGAACGAGGGCGGCG